GCUCUUUCCGUACUUCCCAACACGUAAAGCAGAAGGUAGUACACCUUUUUGGGCUGAUUUUGAAAUUCUUCAGUGAACCAAGACAACACAGCCAUUCUAAAAGAAUUUGGGUGAGACCAUGCUUUGGAGAAAAGUUUUUUCUUGAAAAAGGAAGUGACUCCUCGGUCGAGAAAAUGCAGGACAUAAGAGUCUAGUGUGUUCUAGAGUGUCAACUAGAAAUGUUAUGAUCCCACAACCAACCGCUGCUAUGCAUCACGGAACCUUGUCUUCGAUGAAGCAUCAUCGUGGUGGUCACCACAACAGGUGAUAUUACCUUCUUCCAAAGAAAUAGCAGAAAAGUUGCAGGAGAGACUGGGGCGGAUGAAAGAUAGCCAAGCUCAGAAGCUAUUGAGUCGUCAAUACCAUUGACUAGUAAAGGUGAAUCAGAGCAGUAAUUAUACAGUUUACGGCCUUGGCAAAGCGGUGUACACCAAAGAACUCCUAAAGAUCUUCAACUAGAAGUAUCUAAAGAAGAAUCUAGGCCACAACCGUGGUUGUUUACCAACGUAAUGUAUGGGAUAGAGAUCGAG
rnacentral:lncRNA from 1 species